UAAAUAUAGUAGACAAUCUGGGAUUCAACUGUCUUCUUAUUAAUAAUACAGAGUACAACGCAGAUACAAACAAGGUAGUUCCGGUACGGACUAUAAAACAAGGGAAAUGCUAUGCUCCCCGCUGCAGGCCCACGAUCACGACCACGGCUCAGUCCUCCAGAUAGUUCACGUAAAGGCGAUCUGUCUCCUCGUCGUACUGCCACGCCAGCUGGGUGCCGUCGGGAUCAUCGGACUCUGGGGUAACUCGCCUAAACCUAGCUCUCGAUGAUUUCUAACCUACCUCUCCCCCUCCAGACUCGCCUUCAUAUAUAGGUCGAAGCCUUAGGGUUUACAAGAGUCCCUUCCUUUUUACAAAUCGUGACCACCGCGGUCUCUAAGUCGCCGUCUUGCAAAACCCAGAGUCCUUCCAUAAAUCAUAACCAUCCUGCGACUUCGAACCGCCCAGGCUAAGGCCCAACUAGCCUUAAAGGAUGAAUCGCCUUAACGGUAACCCGGCCCAUAUUCGGCGGGUCACUUUAACUGGCAAUAUCCCCAACAGAUACCAAGUGUGGUAGUACCCCCGAACAAUCUACACCAGUACUGGGGACGUCGGGGUUAUCUCACCACUACCCGUAUUGAAGCAAUAACGAACACCUUCCGUUCUUAGGUACUCAGAAAUCUGAAUGAUGGCGAUGUGCGCGAUAAUCCCUGGAGCUCAACUCCCCUGAUACUUAGAGCAGAUAGGAGGCACCAGGACAUGAUUCCGUCACAUCGAAAUCAUAUAGAUUUCGCAAACACCCGCGUGUCCUAAAAUUUUUUUGAGCGAGAAAAGGAGUAGAGUUAAAGAUUUCCUAAGACGGAAGCCUCACCAGAGCAAAGAAGAGGAGAAAAAUGAAACCUACUCUUCGAUAUAACUAAGACCCAAAACAUUUACUAGACUCGACUCGGCCAAAUACGAUCACACAAAGGCUCCUAUGGUCGUAAGGCUCUGAUUACCAACUUGUAACGACCAAGAUGCGGUCCUUUCCGAUCUGGGGGUCGAGGCCCCCGAAUAGGAAAGAAGCGCAUCUAAGUGUUUUGCAAGCAAGUAAACAUAGCACAUAAUAAUAAAUAUAGUAGACAAUCUGGGAUUCAACUGUCUUCUUAUCAAUAAUACAGAGUACAACGCAGAUACAAACAAGGUAGUUCCGGUACGGACUACAAAACAAGGGAAAUGCUAUGCUACCCGCUGCAGGCCCACGAUCACGACCACGGCUCAGUCCUCCGGAUAGUUCACGUAAAGGCGAUCUGUCUCCUCGUCGUACUGCCACGCCAGCUGGGUGCCGUCGGGAUCAUCGGACUAUGGGGUACCUGUACCUGCUGGGAGUUUCGGAGGAAUC
rnacentral:lncRNA from 1 species